rnacentral:tRNA from 1 species
UUAACUAUAGCUAAUAAAAAGCAAAAUCACUGUUAAUGAUUAGAUAAGAAUCUCUUUGGUUAAG